rnacentral:rRNA from 1 species
GGCCUAAUACAUGCAAGUCGAACGGUUGUCAGCAAUGGCAAUAGUGGCGCACGGGUGCGUAACGCGUAACCAACCUACCCGAAUCUGGGGGAUAGCCCGCCGAAAGGCGGAUUAAUACCGCAUAAAACUGCAGGACGGCAUCGUUUAACAGUUAAAGAUUUAUUGGAUUCGGAUGGGGUUGCGUGCCAUUAGCUAGUUGGGGGGGUAACGGCCCACCAAGGCGACGAUGGCUAGGGGAGCUGAGAGGCUGGUCCCCCACACGGGCACUGAGAUACGGGCCCGACUCCUACGGGAGGCAGCAGUAGGGAAUAUUGGGCAAUGGUCGAGAGACUGACCCAGCCAUGCCGCGUGCAGGAUGAAGGCUUUCUGAGUCGUAAACUGCUUUUGCCAGGGAAGAAAAAAGGGGAUGCGUCCUCUACUGACGGUACCUGGUGAAUAAGCACCGGCUAACUCCGUGCCAGCAGCCGCGGUAAUACGGAGGGUGCAAGCGUUGUCCGGAUUUAUUGGGUUUAAAGGGUGCGUAGGCGGCUUUUUAAGUCUGGGGUGAAAGCCCGUUGCUCAACAACGGAACUGCCCUGGAAACUGGAGAGCUUGAGUACAGACGAGGGUGGCGGAAUGGAUACUGUAGCGGUGAAAUGCAUAGAUAGUAUCCAGAACCCCGAUUGCGAAGGCAGCUGCCUAGACUGUAACUGACGCUGAGGCACGAAAGCGUGGGGAGCGAACAGGAUUAGAUACCCUGGUAGUCCACGCCGUAAACGAUGGAUACUCGCUGGUGGCGACAGACGGUCACUGGCUUAGCGAAAGCGUUAAGUAUCCCACCUGGGGAGUACGCUCGCAAGA